rnacentral:lncRNA from 1 species
GCGGAUUCACCAGAGCAUGGGCAACAACAUUGUGAGAACCUGGACCAUAGUAUUGAUUGAGUUGAGGACUCUGUGGUGAUAUGGACAUCUAUAACAAGGCAAUCUCUGAAAAUGGAAUGUUGGAAAUACCACCACCAAUUGUGAAGUGUUAAUACAAGUGAGGUAUCAUAUCUGAAGUUCAUGGUGAAAUUGCUGGGGGGAAGGGGUCGCCGGAUAAUCCGAAAGAACUAUAACAACAAGAGAUAUAGAAGACCGAAAGCAGCAUCACUGAUGAGGGCCGAGUUAGCUGGUGAUUUUUACGAUCCCUUCCGCAGUCACCCAGUAGAUGAAGAACAUCUAGUCAGUGCUUCUGCAAGCUCAUCUUCAAGUACCUGCAUGUGAUGCAUCAGGGGGAAAUGACCAGAUUGUUUUAAAUUUAUUUGUGCAAAACAGAAGACAUCAAAAAAUAAUAAACCUUCCCUUUAGAAGUAACAUAAAAAUUAUACUGUACUGUAUCUGUAUAAUAAAGUAUGAAAGUGGUAGAAUGGGAUAAGUUUAGAAUAAUAUUAACAAAGUGCGACUCUUAUGCAUUUAUGAUGUAGUUAUAAAGAAUUUGUAUUGUGAUAUAAAUGUAACCCAAAAUGUA